GAAGAAGAAAGUAAGAAACUUGCACUUAUUUGAAGGUUCAAGCAUUGAUUUGGUACAUCAACAUCUUCAUAAGUAGACGACGAUCUCAAAAAUUACACUUUUUCAUUUGUUUCCAGCGGAUGACAAUGAUUCCGAAGCUGAAGACAUAGUUCUCGACCCAGAUAAUCACCACACGGCGAGUGGAACGGUAUUUGGUGAUUUUGAAAGCGAAGAAGAAGCUUCAGCCGAAAACUAUAGCAAUGAUGGCAAUGAUGACAGUGACGCUAAUCAUGACAGUGGCAAUAAUGACAGUGGCAAUAAUGACAGUGACAAUGAUGACAGUGGCAAUGAUGACAGUGGCAAUGAUGGUGAUACGCGUAAUUACGAUGAUAGUUAUGACAACGAUGUUCGAUUCAAUGAUGAUGACUAUGGCAACAACUGGUGAGGGAAAUCGAUCUCCCAAAAGUUACCCUAGAACCACACCUUCUUGUAUUACCUACAUAUGUAUAGUGCAUGCAUUAUUUGUACUUCUGUACAGGAGGUUCUUAUGUGUAGGUAUUCAUUCAUGUGCCUUUAAAAAAGUAUAUUUUUUCAAACUAAGCAUUACACUAAUUGACAAUAAAUUAUUAUACAGCUAUUA